rnacentral:rRNA from 1 species
CCUACGGGAGGCAGCAGUGAGGAAUAUUGGUCAAUGGACGGAAGCCUGAACCAGCCAUGCCGCGUGCAGGAAGACGGCUCUAUGAGUUGUAAACUGCUUUUGUACAAGGGUAAACCUGAAUACGUGUAUUCAGCUGAAAGUACUGUACGAAUAAGGAUCGGCUAACUCCGUGCCAGCAGCCGCGGUAAUACGGAGGAUCCAAGCGUUAUCCGGAUUUAUUGGGUUUAAAGGGUGCGUAGGCGGAUUGAUAAGUUAGAGGUGAAAUGUCCGAGCUUAACUCGGGAACUGCCUCUAAUACUGUUGAUCUAGAGAGUAGAUGCGGUAGGCGGAAUGUAUGGUGUAGCGGUGAAAUGCUUAGAGAUCAUACAGAACACCGAUUGCGAAGGCAGCUUACCAAUCUAUAUCUGACGUUGAGGCACGAAAGCGUGGGGAGCAAACAGGAUUAGAUACCCUGGUAGUC